rfam:Schistosoma haematobium C9759556_1, whole genome shotgun sequence.
AGCCUCCUGAACCUGUGCUGAGAGUUCGUCAGACACCAGACUGUCAGUAAUGAUGAGACUUCCAAGAUAAAUGAAACG